UUAAUGGCGUUUAUAAACGCCACAAAUAGUUUUAGUGGCGUUUAU
rfam:Gossypium hirsutum cultivar TM-1 chromosome 2, whole genome shotgun sequence